UACGUAGGGGGCAAGCGUUGUCCGGAUUUAUUGGGCGUAAAGAGCGUGUAGGCGGCUGGGUAGGUCCGUUGUGAAAACUCGAGGCUCAACCUCGAGACGCCGAUGGAAACCCUCCAGCUAGAGUCCGGAAGAGGAGAGUGGAAUUCCUGGUGUAGCGGUGAAAUGCGUAGAUAUCAGGAGGAACACCGGUGGUGUAGACGGCUAUCUGGACCGUAACUGACGCUGAGGCACGAAAGCGUGGGUAGCAAACAGG
rnacentral:rRNA from 1 species